GCAUCAUGGGUCGUGGCGGUGGUCUUCACGCCAUAUCUCGGCGUGACGAUGCUGCCGGAGUUCAGAAAGUUCGAAGGCGGUCACGACGCA
rnacentral:tRNA from 1 species